CAGUCGCCGCGUAAUACGGAGGGUGCAAGCGUUAUCCGGAUUUAUUGGGUUUAAAGGGUCCGUAGGCGGACUUAUAAGUCAGUGGUGAAAGCCUGUCGCUUAACGAUAGAACUGCCAUUGAUACUGUAAGUCUUGAGUAUAUUUGAGGUAGCUGGAAUAAGUAGUGUAGCGGUGAAAUGCAUAGAUAUUACUUAGAACACCAAUUGCGAAGGCAGGUUACCAAGAUAUAACUGACGCUGAGGGACGAAAGCGUGGGUAGCGAACAGGAUUAGAUACCCCCGUAGUCCCUGUCUCUUAUACA
rnacentral:rRNA from 1 species